rnacentral:snRNA from 1 species
UGUUUAUAAUUGGACAGAAGUU